UACAGAGGGUGCGAGCGUUAAUCGGAAUUACUGGGCGUAAAGCGCACGUAGGCGGCUUGGUAUGUCGGGUGUGAAAUCCCCGGGCUCAACCUGGGAACUGCAUCCGAAACUGCCUUGCUAGAGUAUGGGAGAGGGAAGUGGAAUUUCCGGUGUAGCGGUGAAAUGCGUAGAUAUCGGAAGAACAUCGGUGGCGAAGGCGCUCUGCUGGACCAUAACUGACACUCAGGGACGAAAGCUAGGGGAGCGAAUGGG
rnacentral:rRNA from 1 species